CUCAGAAGGUUGGAAGAAGCAGGUCUCUGAACUGGCGGACCCAAAAGUUCCUGAAGGCAAAAAAGUCAAAUCCUUGUGAACAAACCUAGUUCUCCUCCUAGUCAGUAUCCAGGGACCCUUUAACUCUAAUGGACCCGACUAAUGAAGAUAAUGAACAAUGUCAGAGAAAGCUCAAGUCUAUGUCCAAGGCCAGAAUCGGAAACCAUUUUACCUGCAAGUCUCUCCAGUUCUUCAUGUGGUGUUGACCCAAGACUGCUGGAUCUGCUUCCUGAUCGGCUUGGGUUAGAGAACCACCUACUGAAUCUGCUGGCAGAGACUGACCCUUCUCCCAAAACAUCUUCUAUCAUCUAAAAGGAAAGAAAAUCCAGACUACUGAAUGUUCUUGGAGGACACACAGUUUCAAAAUCAAAAUCAGCACCAGGAGUAAAGCAUUCCAUUGCCAAGCUGAUGAGUGGCUUUCAACUAAAUAUAAGACUUACUGCUCUAACACAGACUGAUAAAUGCCAACUAUUCUCAGAUACGAGAGUCACUCAGGU